CUCAUAUUAACUCUGUGUGCAGCUUUCUGGUGGCAUAAUAAAGGGCUUACUAUCCUCUUUUGCAUUUUACAAUUCUUUGCCUUGGCAUGGUACAGCAUUUCCUACAUACCAUUUGCAAGGUAAUGUUGAUUGCCCACAUUUGUUCAUGGAAC